GGCGGGCAGCCUACACAUGCAAGUCGGACGGUAGCACAGAGGAGCUUGCUCCUCGGGUGACGAGUGGCGGACGGGUGAGUAAUGUCUGGGAAACUGCCCGAUGGAGGGGGAUAACUACUGGAAACGGUAGCUAAUACCGCAUAACGUCGCAAGACCAAAGUGGGGGACCUUCGGGCCUCACACCAUCGGAUGUGCCCAGAUGGGAUUAGCUGGUAGGCGGGGUAACGGCCCACCUAGGCGACGAUCCCUAGCUGGUCUGAGAGGAUGACCAGCCACACUGGAACUGAGACACGGUCCAGACUCCUACGGGAGGCAGCAGUGGGGAAUAUUGCACAAUGGGCGCAAGCCUGAUGCAGCCAUGCCGCGUGUAUGAAGAAGGCCUUCGGGUUGUAAAGUACUUUCAGCGGGGAGGAAGGUGUUGAGGUUAAUAACCUCAGCAAUUGACGUUACCCGCAGAAGAAGCACCGGCUAACUCCGUGCCAGCAGCCGCGGUAAUACGGAGGGUGCAAGCGUUAAUCGGAAUUACUGGGCGUAAAGCGCACGCAGGCGGUCUGUUAAGUCAGAUGUGAAAUCCCCGGGCUUAACCUGGGAACUGCAUUUGAAACUGGCAGGCUUGAGUCUUCGUAGAGGGGGGUAGAAUUCCCAGGUGUAGCGGUGAAAUGCGUAGAGAUCUGGAGGGAAUACCGGUGGGCGAAGGCGGCCCCCUGGACGAAAGACUGACGCUCAGGUGCGAAAGCGUGGGGAAGCAAAACAGGAUUUAGAUACCCUGGUAGUCCACGCCGUAAACGAUGUCGACUUGGAGGUUGUUCCCUUGAGGAGUGGCUUCCGGAGCUAACGCGUUAAGUCGACCGCCUGGGGAGUACGGCCGCAAGGUUAAAACUCAAAUGAAUUGACGGGGGCCCGCACAAGCGGUGGAGCAUGUGGUUUAAUUCGAUGCAACGCGAAGAACCUUACCUACUCUUGACAUCCAGCGAACUUGGCAGAGAUGGAUUGGUGCCUUCGGGAACGCUGAGACAGGUGCUGCAUGGCUGUCGUCAGCUCGUGUUGUGAAAUGUUGGGUUAAGUCCCGCAACGAGCGCAACCCUUAUCCUUUGUUGCCAGCGAUUCGGUCGGGAACUCAAAGGAGACUGCCGGUGAUAAACCGGAGGAAGGUGGGGAUGACGUCAAGUCAUCAUGGCCCUUACGAGUAGGGCUACACACGUGCUACAAUGGCGCAUACAAAGAGAAGCGACCUCGCGAGAGCAAGCGGACCUCAUAAAGUGCGUCGUAGUCCGGAUCGGAGUCUGCAACUCGACUCCGUGAAGUCGGAAUCGCUAGUAAUCGUGGAUCAGAAUGCCACGGUGAAUACGUUCCCGGGCCUUGUACACACCGCCCGUCACACCAUGGGAGUGGGUUGCAAAAGAAGUAGGUAGCUUAACCUCUCGGGAGGGCGCUACCACUUUGUAUCG
rnacentral:rRNA from 1 species